AACGAACGCUGGCGGCAGGCUUAACACAUGCAAGUCGAACGCCCCGCAAGGGGAGUGGCAGACGGGUGAGUAACGCGUGGGAAUCUACCCAGUUCUACGGAACAACUGAGGGAAACUUCAGCUAAUACCGUAUACGCCCUACGGGGGAAAGAUUUAUCGGAAUUGGAUGAGCCCGCGUAAGAUUAGCUAGUUGGUGAGGUAAUGGCUCACCAAGGCGACGAUCUUUAGCUGGUCUGAGAGGAUGAUCAGCCACACUGGGACUGAGACACGGCCCAGACUCCUACGGGAGGCAGCAGUGGGGAAUAUUGGACAAUGGGCGCAAGCCUGAUCCAGCCAUGCCGCGUGAGUGAUGAAGGCCUUAGGGUUGUAAAGCUCUUUCAGUGGGGACGAUAAUGACGGUACCCACAGAAGAAGCCCCGGCUAACUUCGUGCCAGCCGCCGCGGUAACAC
rnacentral:rRNA from 1 species